rnacentral:ncRNA from 1 species
UAAAAAACAAAGAACAGAAGAGUACCUUUAUUAGUUCAUUCAAGAGAGUCUUUGGCUGGUGGAAAAAGACAGGAAGAUAAAGCGAACCACAUCUGGGAGUUAACUUUUUGAACAACAAGUAGGAAAGUUCGGGUAUGCUCGUUACAGCAUUGAAGUCAAUGACUUCUUGAGGUUAUCGUUGUGAGACGAUAAUAAAAAAAGGUGGAACCACGAUUUUACGUCCUUUGG